rnacentral:rRNA from 1 species
UACAGAGGUCUCAACCGUUGUUCGGAUUCAUUGGGCGUAAAGGGUGCGCAGGUGGUCGGGUAAGUCUGAUGUGAAAUCCCGCAGCUUAACUGCGGAAUGGCAUUGGAUACUAUUCGGCUAGAGGGUUGGAGGGGGGACUGGAAUUCUCGGUGUAGCAGUGAAAUGCGUAGAUAUCGAGAGGAACACCAGUGGCGAAGGCGAGUCCCUGGACAACUCCUGACGCUGAGGCACGAAAGCUAGGGGAGCAAACAGG